AUUACAUGUUAUUCUUAACACCUGCCACUUCUCUCUUCCCACCUCUAUCUGCCUUAUUGAACUUCAUCUUUCCUUCAUUCUCUUCAACUUCCACUUCUUCUUGUAUGGUCCUGUUGAUGCCAUCUUGUUUCCGUCCCCAGACUCAUCAUCUUUACCCUCUGUCAACUGAGUUCCCACCCUGGUUCUCUCUCAAGAUCUUCCUCUCAUAGCUUUCACCCUUGGUAAACAAUGAGGACACAUCUCAAAAAGAAUGAUGUAAUUUAAUUGCCUUGAGUUGGCUGGGCCAUCAUCUAUUAUAAAGUGCUCUUAAAAUUAAAGCUAAUUUAAUUCUGAAGAACUAAGGAUUAAGAAGUUAAGAGCUGGGGUUCUUACAAUAUGGCUUGCAGACUACAAGUGUGAACUGAGGAGGUCCCCAAAGUCACUUCUUACUAAGUGAAAGCGGUGUAAAUGGCUCUUAUCUGAACCACAAUGAAUUCACAUAUUCAAGUUGGCUUCUUCGGAAAUUUCAGGCCACAAAUGGCAGUGAUGCGACCAGGAGCAGUAACACGAUUACAAGUCGCAAUUUAGGAAGGGUGCUCCAUCAUCAUUUCAUGAUUCUCACUACAGCCCAGACAGGUGGGCAGAGCAGUGUUCUUUCCCCUUUAAUGAAUGAAGAAGCUGAGCCUCAAACAGAUGAGGGGGCUUCCUGGGUUCACAGAGCUCUAAAGGGCUGAGCUGUAGAUCCACGGCCACCAUGAUGAGCUAAGAGUUUCUGGAUUCAGUGCCUGCUGUUGCUCCUGGAGAUUUGUAUCCUGAUUGAAGGCUGGUUCCAUAUCUGUUCACCCAGUCACCUUUAAAAUUAAGUCCUGGGCACAAAUCAUUAGUCUGGCAAGUUACAUCACUGUGCCACUUCCAUCCGGACAGAAGGAACCCAGGUCAAGGCUGACAGGAGGAGCAGGAGCCGUCAAUGAGAGCAGACCUCAGAAGCCAACGGAGGUGAGAAGAGCACCAUCCACAGCCCCAUCCUCUGAAUGCUGUGGGAAGAAGUCCACAAAAUACCACCCCUUGGAGUCA
rnacentral:lncRNA from 10 species